CAAUAUUUCCUUACUAAUGAGAGCAUUUACUUUUCCGUAUUUUCUGGGUCCAAAUUCCAAUUGUUUUUGCGAAUGUGUAAGGAAGUCUUGUGAACAAUAAGUGAAUAAGAGAGUUUGGUUGAUGAAAUUUCUUUGCAUAUUUACACAUUUAAUGGUUACACUCAGGUAUUUGCUAGUUGAGAUUCCUAAAAGGCUUUAGUGGGACUAAUAGUUUUCUUUUCUCUUUUUUCUGUCACAAUGCUAAAUUGAAUCUAUGUUUUGCCAGUGAUCCAGGCCUCUUUUGUGACUUAUUGAAAGCAAUAUUUUUAUGACAUUAAUGUGAAAAUAAAAAUGGUAUCUUCUUUAACGUGCAUGGACAAUUUG
rnacentral:misc_RNA from 1 species